AUGACCUGGGAACUGCCGCAGACUCGGUCAAAGCCCCCCAAACAAACCAACCCUCCAAACCACUGCACAAUCUUUAAAUGUGUGGCCGCACCGCAUAGGACUGUCAUCCGGUCUUCACCACUGGGUGGCCCCCAUCUGCCUUCUGAACCUCUUCAGGGGGGUCUCCCUAGCCCCUUCUGGAGCUCUCAGGGAUUCUGUGGUGACCCCCCGGUGACCUUGGAUUCCGCAGGUCAGGUGGCUCUGGGAGUUCUGGGAGUGGAGGGGCAGCGUUGCCAUGGAGAUGGGGAAAGGCAUCCCGCAUCAGGUGCCCUGGGGCAGUGUCCUGUGCAGGUGGCCUGGGGCGAGGGGAUUCACGCUCACUUCUUGCUCCCUCACUCUGACCUGGGGUAUGAGAAUCAGUUCCUUAACGACCCCCUCCCCCCUGCUUCCUUCCAGUUUUCCCAGUGCAGGGCUGGCUGCCAGGCUGGGAGGGGUGGUGUAGCUGGCUUUCUCUGGAGUCCUUGUCUCCACAUUACGGAAGCCAGCACUCGGUGGGGGUCUGCUCCCCUCAGUGUGUCUCUGCCUCACACACUGUACUUGCCACUCUCCCUACAUGGUGCCUCUCUUUCUCUUGGGCCCUGUCCCUCUCUGGGCCACCCCUCCAGCUCCUUGCUGUCAUGAGCAUCCUGGGGGGUCUGGACACACUGGUCCCAGCUGCAGGUCUUCCCCUUCCUCGAAUGGGCAGAGUUAGAAACUGGCCUAACUCGAGGUACAGCUUGGAAGGCUGGUAGGGAGGCCGGGUCAGCAGGGGAGGCUCCCGGCGGACAAAGAGCUCCACAGCCUGGCGCUGUCCUCAGAGCUGCAAAGCAGACGCUGAGGGCGGCCACUUCUGGGAUGCCUGGUUCCGCUGGGUGCUGGGUGUGUGUCUGGAACAGGGGCUUCCGUGUGUGCCUCCACACCCAUGAGCCAGCAUUUCCAGAAUGCUUGGUCUUGUAUUCUGGGUGAAUGGUUUUGAUCUGGAAGCUCACAUCCUAGCAUUCUCAGUUGGUAACCUUAUUGUUUUAAUUUAAAAAAAUUUUGUGGGUCUUUUUGCCAUUUCUAGGGCUGCUCUCGCGGCAAAUGGAGGUUCCCAGGCGAGGGGUCGAAUCAGAGUGGUAGCCGCCAUCCUACACCAGAGCCAGGCAAUGCCAGAUGCCAGCCGCAUCUGCAACCUACACCACAGCUCACGGCAAUGCCGGAUCCUUAACCCACUGAAGCCGGCCAGGGAUCAAACCCGGCCAGGGAUCGAACUUGCAACCUUAUGGUUCCUAGUCAGAUUCGUUAACCACUGAGUCACAACGGGAACUCCUCAAAUGUUAACUUUAGGGCUGACAUUGAAUAUGACUUGAGAAGUCUCCCCUGAUGUAAAAGAAUGUGAUCCAGACACGACUAAUGCCAUCUUCAGUAUCUCUUACGUGUGCCCCGUCCAUACCAAGGAGCAUUUUUCAAGCUCCCAUCAGCACCUUGGGAUUACGCAUAGUAUGUUGAGAGAGGUGGACGAGAGCACACACGCACACCCCUGGAUCACGUUCCAGCGAAUAUGACUUGAGAAGUCUCCCCUGAUGUAAAAGAAUGUGAUCCAGACACGACUAAUGCCAUCUUCAGUAUCUCUUACGUGUGCCCCGUCCAUACCAAGGAGCAUUUUUCAAGCUCCCAUCAGCACCUUGGGAUUACGCAUAGUAUGUUGAGAGAGGUGGACGAGAGCACACACGCACACCCCUGGAUCACGUUCCGCCCCCCGCCAAGAGGGGCAGCCUCUCCUCCUGGCUCCUCCUCCUCUUCCUCAUGUUCGCCUUUUCUAUUUUUUUAAAGUGUUUUAAACAUCUAUUUUUUUCUAGUUGAUGAAACCUAUAUUCAGGAGUCUUGUACGUGUUUAUGAAAUAAACUAUUUAUUGAUCAAAAUCAAUAAAUAAUGUACCGAAGAGAGCGUGGUGUUCAGAAGAAAGGACGUCUCUGAGUAAGUUUUCACCUAGAAUUGGUCUUGUCCGAACAGCUCGCGAAUUUAUUCCAAAGCAACUGAUACUGAGGCACAACCUGCGCGCAUCACGACGGCGGCGUUUGCCCGUGAGUAUCAAACUGCCUCCCGCUGCACUGAACGGGGUAGAAAUUCUCAAGGCGCACACGUGCACACGCACGCAGGCGUACACGUGGACACGAGCACGUGCGCACGCAC
ensembl:lncRNA